AUGGAAGGUAACACAUCAAGACCCUUUAAUUGGAGAUAUAUCUUCCAGAAUGGAAUACCUUGGAAUGGUAAAAGAUUCAGUGGUGGUCCAGAUAUGCAACCUGCAACAGGAUUCAAUGUGAAUUCAUUAGAUGAACUGGUGGUUAUAUGGAAUGUUGAGAUUUGUGUCAGAAAUUGUUUUUUUACUGGUUAUUCUAAUAUUGAGAUUAUUAAUGGAGGAAGUGGUGUUGUUGGUUUCUUGUUCCUACUGAUUUUGGUCUUUAAGUUAAAAAUCUGA